rnacentral:rRNA from 1 species
UACGUAGGGGGCUAGCGUUGUCCGGAAUCAUUGGGCGUAAAGAGCGUGUAGGCGGUCCGGUAAGUCCGCUGUGAAAGUCGGGGGCUCAACCCUCGAAUGCCGGUGGAUACUGUCGGGCUAGAGUACGGAAGAGGCGAGUGGAAUCCUGGUGUAGCGGUGAAAUGCGCAGAUAUCAGGAGGACACCGGUGGCGAAGGCGGGAUCUCUGGGCCGAUACUGACGCUGAGGAGCGAAAGCGUGGGGAGCGAGCAGG